rnacentral:tRNA from 1 species
AUUAAAUAAUUCUUUUUAUUAUACAAGGAUUUUGAAAAUCUUUAAAGGCAUAAAUAAUGUCAUUUAGUG